rnacentral:rRNA from 1 species
GAUGAACGCUAGCGGCAGGCUUAACACAUGCAAGUCGAGGGGUAUGCUGAUUUAUCGGCAGAGACCGGCGCACGGGUGCGUAACGCGUAUGCAAUCUACCUUUCACAGAGGAUAGCCCAGAGAAUUUGGAUUAAUACCUCAUAGUAUGUGAGGAUGGCAUCAUUUUCACAUUAAAGUCACAACGGCAAAAGAUGAGCAUGCGUCCCAUUAGCUAGUUGGUAAGGUAACGGCUUACCAAGGCUACGAUGGGUAGGGUCCUGAGAGGGAGAUCCCCCACACUGGUACUGAGACACGGACCAGACUCCUACGGGAGGCAGCAGUGAGGAAUAUUGGACAAUGGGCG